rnacentral:rRNA from 1 species
UACGUAGGGGGCAAGCGUUGUCCGGAAUCAUUGGGCGUAAAGAGCGUGUAGGCGGCCAGAAAAGUCCGCUGUGAAAACUCGAGGCUCAACUUCGAGCUGUCGGUGGAAACUUUCUGGCUAGAGUCCGGAAGAGGAGAAUGGAAUUCCUGGUGUAGCGGUGAAAUGCGCAGAUAUCAGGAAGAACACCCGUGGCGAAGGCGGUUCUCUAGUACGGUACUGACGCUGAGACGCGAAAGCGUGGGGAGCGAACAGG